UCCUCCUUCCCUCUAGGUUUCUGAAAUUGGAUGGCCUAAUCUUCAUCUCGGCAAACUCGAUUGAGUGCUCGUGACCUUUCCAGUGGAACCAGUUCACACCCUGGAGAGGAGAUGGACAAAUCACAUUAGUAGAAAGUAGUAGUAGAAAAUACAAACACUAAAGUAUAGCCCCAAUCUUACCCCUUGUUCAAGUACAUUUUUUCUGUAGUAAACUUUCAAACAAUUCAAGGGUUAAGUUAGAACAAAAACAUGUAAUUAAUUAAUUAAUUCACAUAAUUUUCCAUUUUAGGUUUAAUAUCAUGCAAUUGGGCUAACUAGGUCUACAGUGAAAUACACAAACAAUGCUGUUCCCUUGUAACAUUAUACAAGUCCUCUAUAUGGAUCAACAACAAAAGAGUUUAAUCCCCAACUAACCAUCAGGUUUCUUCAACUUUCACUCAGGAGCAAAAAUCAGCCUUUAAAUGAUUUGAUACUUAUGGUGAUAAUUAUCAAUAUCGAAAGAUUUAAAACUUCUUAUCAUGGUAACAUUUUUGGCCAUAUCGUCCAGCCCUAUUUUCUACAGUAUCUCUAUAUGGCAACUAUGUUAUGGAUAUGGUUUGGGAAAAGGUGUGGUUAUGACAAAUUAACUAUGUUUAAGGUAUUGUUAAGAUGGAUUACUUGACACAAGGGGUUAACAGCAGGCCCACAAUAAAUACCUACAGUGCAGGUUUGGAUUUAUGGUUCAGCAUAUGAUUCCCCCCUUGAUAUCACCACCACAUAAGACAAAUGUACGUGAUAAGACCAUAUCAUGCUUUAAUCAAAGUAGGUCUAAUCAAAACAAGGUAAACCCUGCUAGUACAGUUUCUUCUUGACCUCGAUGUUUCCUAGCGACCCCUAGAACCACAUGACAGAUCCUCAGAAUCUUCAAAAGGAAUAAUAACACCAUCAAAGACUCUCUAAACUACUACUGAAGGACUAAGGGAUUCUAAUCAUAAGCCAGUGAAACCCCAUUAGGGACCCCUGGAACCCCUUCAAAAACAGCUGAACCCUCUUCAGAAAUCCUGAAAUAUCAUCUCACUGGACCUCCAUCAAGGACAGUCAGUGACCCAGGAAGCCCCUCGGGAUCCUAAUUUGCAAUCCGUGUUAUGACAUACAGUAACUGCAUCAUGAGAUGUGCUUUAUGCAGCCAUACUGUACCUUGCUAUGACUGUUAUCUCCAUAUCGACCCAUGAGAUUCACACGGUGGCAGUUUUUAUACCAGAAGGCUCCCUUAUAGGACAGGGCACAGUUGGUGACAGCGAUGUCGUUGUCAUGGUCAUAAGUGGAGAACGGACGGCCAUGGUGGUCUGUGUGUCUCUUUGACCGAGGAGUGGCUGAGCUGGAGAGGACAGGAUGAAGCGUGGCUGCGGCUGCAUUCACACAAAAUCUUGCAAGGUGGCUCCUUCCCACAGGGCUGUGUGGAGGUAUGGCUGUGUGUACACAAACUGCUAACUGCUGAAAAUAGUCCCCAACAAAUGCACUAUUCCUCCUGUUUGAUAGGAACCAACGGGGAUGAGUGCCACAGACAGAAUAGCGAAGUCAGAAAGUAAAAGCAUUGUGUACAUGUUUGGCUGCAGGCUCCAGAAGUCAGCGUUACCUGCUGUUCCACUGUAUCCUCCUACAUGGACUUUGUAGCGAGUCCGAGGUUCAGAAACAGAAAACUUGUCAUACUGAGCAUAGGCUGUUUCUCCCUUAUCUCUCAGGUCAACUCGCAGCUCGUAUUGACCUCCAGCUGUGAUCUUAUGCAAGUUGGAAAGACCUGAGUGACAGAGAAGAUUAUAUAGAAAUUACCCAGCCAGAAUUCAUCAUUCAUGUCACCGAAGCCAGCUGUGUAAUUCUUCCAGUUGCGGAAAAACUCCAGUCUACCACUCUGGCGUCUGAGGAAAACCUGCAAAGAGAAAGACAACAAGAAAUGAAUAUUGUGUGAUUUUACUGAUUGCCAGACAUUCCCAAUGCAAAUUAGGUUUAUGUGAAAUAUCUGACAAUCAUAACUGUUAUAUAUGGGUUUUCAAAGCAAAAUGACAUUUUCAAUAAAUAUAUAUCAUGGAUAUUUUCUUUGACAGAAAUUCAUCAAAACUCAACUGGCACAUAGAUGCACAGCAGAAUAUAGUCUCAUCACCAGAGAAAUGCAAUUAUCAAUCUCAAUAAUCUCAAUAAUUUCUCCAUGAUUUCAAUAAAUGAUUAGUAUUAUA